ensembl:lncRNA
CACUGAGCCUUUAACAGGGCAGUUUUUAGUCGGGAGUGGACAGCUGGGAGUAGAAAACUAGCUCACAUGGGACAGGAAUCCACAAUACACAGAGAAAAAAAAAAAGGCAGCGAAAAAGUCGCCCAAAGUGGGGCUCAAACCCACGACGACCCUGAGAUUAAGCUAGCCGGGCAGCUGCGCUUUGCCACGUGCUCCGAAUUUCCGAAGGUGACUGGCUAUAGACCACUCCAAAUGACAGGAGAGGGCAGGAUCGGGGUCAGAGGGGACAUGGAAUCCUCUCCGGGCAUUCUGAGUGUCUAGACUGCCUAGAAUCUGUGGUGUCCUCAGGCAGAGGAGGAGCUGUGCGGGGCUGCAGUGGGGCUCCGCACUGACGGAUGGACGGCGGUUGGCUGGUGGCUCAGCGGCGGCCAGAAGCCCUGCAGCACGGACAGAACUCAGGGCAGACCCAAGGGGGAUGAUCUCACAACGUGUAGACGGACACUCGGCCCCAAAUGAAGAUGGGCCCACCUACUUGCUGUUGCCAAAUAUCUGUUAAAGCCACGUCUGGGCUCAGGAUGAUGCCAGGGUCUGCUUCAGAUUAUGGGUAUUUUCAGCUGCACAGGUGGCCCUCAACCCAAACCACCAAAGUCAGACGCAGCCUGAGAUCCCGGAUGUUGCCUGGUACUGAGUUGAAUCGGUCUUUCUCUGGGCUUUGACACAGCCUGAGGCCCACAUGUUGACUCCAGUCCCCACCAUGAGGCCAGGGGAUGUGGGUGUGUCAGCUUGAGGAGGCGCCAGGAAUAUGAGGACACAGCUCCUGCCUCAGGGUGGUGGAAAGCAGGCCUGAGCCGUGGGUUCCUUCUGCCAAAAUAUUUUGCUGAGCCCCAACUGACUCUGAGUCUGGUCGGAUCACUGAUGGGAACCCUCAGGAUCCAGAGCUAGAAGCUGCCAUCUGGGACAAGACUCUUCAGAAAAGUGAAAGUCGCUUAGUCCUGUCUGACUCUUUGCCACCCUCCAUGGACUAUACAGUCCUUGGAAUUCUCCGGCAAGAAAACUGGAGCCAUCAACUGUUCCCUUCUCCAGGGGAUCUUCCCAACCCAGGGAUGGAACUCAGGUCUACCCACAUUACAGGUGGAUUCUUUACCAGCUGUGCCACCAGGGAAGCCGUUUCUCAGGAAGAUUUCUCCAAAUCGGAUUCGGAGUUAUUGAAAAG